CUGAUUUCCCCCUCUUUUCCUUGCUAGCCACUUGCCCAGCUGAGCAGCCCAAAACAAAGGUGGAGUCCGGUUCAUCCCUGCCGCAGCACAGCAACCCGCAAGCAUCCAGGAUGUAGCGCAGCAUCCAAACAACCCCAGUUUGGACUGGCACAACUGGGUCUUGUUUCAAUGGAUGGAUUCAAUCACCACCAACACCACUCGGGGCUUCUGAAAGCAGAAUUCAGGGCAGUAUUUUGAGCUCACUGUUUUCCCCCGUGUUUAUUUACAUCACACGCAGCAGGCAGCAUCUGCAUCACUCCAGCAGGUGAGCGUACAAAAUCGCACAGUAUCUGCCGUGUCCAACCAACUGCAUCACAGAAGACACCGAAUUUCAGCCCAAAACUCAAGGACAGCGGCACUCAUUUAGGUUUCGAUAAGAGGAAGAAUAUUCACCAGCAUACUUCACCAGUGGUGCAGUCAAAACUUGCACACUUAGUCACAGAAAUAUGACUGGACUUGUCUGCUACCACAAAACAAAGUACCGUCUAGUGGUUAAAAUCAGAGGACAUGAUUCAGGAAUGCAACCCUUUUCAAAGGAGAACUAAAACACAUGAUUAAGUGCUGUUGAAGUCAAUAGGCUGAUUCAGAGACCAACUUUUGGAGCAGUGGAUAAUACUCUCCACACUGCCAUAUGGCUCUCAGUCAAACUUCCUAGAAGCAUUUGCUAAUACUGGGUUCCACCACAGCUUUUGGGAGGCCUGCUUUUCUUUCCUUUUUUUUUUUUUUUCUCCCUGUCUUUUUUUAAACAUGCUUCUGGGAUGAUUUUCACCCACUCUGAAGAUCCUCCAGGCUGCCACUGGCUGAGAGAAUGCCCAACUGCGCUCCCUCCAUAGCAGCGCAGACUCAUGCAAUAAUUAAUAUUCUCAAAUAAAAGGUUAUCUAAGCGUGCAGACUGAUCAGGAUCCAAACGCAUUUUUUGCAGUGUUGCUUGGGAGGCGUUCAGGGAAGGGCACAGAGAAAUGAACUCCGUGCGCAUCGCGGCCAGCCGGUGAUGCAAACAACCCCAGUGACUCCUCAGACCUCCCAGGCACGCUGCCUUCACCACGGAGAGAUUUCGCUCAUCCUAUUGCCUCGCGCACGGGGAUCCUGCUGGCUUGGCCAGACUGCGAAAAUAAGCCUCAAAUGACCAAAUACAACUGCAACUUGAAAAGUAGGAACCAAACCAGACACAACAAACCACAGAGCAGCCGGCCGACCUGCCCUAACUCCUGGGCGAGGAGGGCGGCGUCUCCCCACCGCCACGCUCCGCGCACGGCCGCGGGGGCUUCGCGGGGCGGCCGAUAAGGAGCUGCCGGUGGCGAGCCCACGAGCGGUGCCAUUAAUCACAGAGCUGUCCCCCCGGCACGCCAGCAGCUCUGCCGGCACCGCAGCAAAGCCAGCGAGCAGGCGGGAGCACGCUGAUGGAGAGGCAGACCUGCGGGGCUGGGGGAGUUUAGUGAAUUGCAGAGAGGCUGGAUUCCUGGAGCUCUUGAAACGCCGAGGAGGGCGAAGCCAAAAUCCACAGCCCUGUCUGGAUGCUUCACCUGCAGGUUCUGGCCACGGGAUGAGGAGCCCACCCGUACACACUGCACAAGGCUAUCCUACGGAGGAGCAAGAAGCGUAAUUUGGGUUAUAUUCUGCUCACAGGCAGCCCCACAAAUACCUUUUGGGACAGUCACUCAUUCAACCCCAGCAUCAGCUCCAACCACAGGUGACCCUGAUCAAGAAAUCUGUCCCCACACUCACACACACUUCUCCAGGAGCCAGCUAAAUGCCAGGCAAAGUGCAGGGGACAGCACUGCUCUGAUGUGCCCCAGAGCCCAGAAACAUCAGUAACUGCAGGCCCUACACCAACAAAAUCUGAGCUCAGGACCAAAUCCAGCAUCUCUCUUCCAAUUUCGGAUAUAUUUUGUUCCUGAAUUGUAAUUAAAGAAUAAUGACUUGUGGAAUAUCAUUUUAUGUGUCCUAUUAAAGGGACAUUUGCUGCAACGAAGAGUUAAGCAGCUCAGAUAUUAAAACGGGAGCAAAACUAUUGUCAAUAACAGUGACAUAAAUUAAUGUUGGUAGUUAAUUAAGAACGGCAGUAUUCUCAGACUUUUAUUGGAAGACUAAGGCUUUUCACAAAAUUCCUGUUACCAAAUAAUAUAAUUUACUGAAGUGCUCAGCUCUACCAGCUCCAUCAAGCUAGCUCUACAGUUCCACUCCUCUGCCCUACAUUUAGCGUACCUGGCCAUGGAAACAAACCGCACCAUGUACCUUAUUUCCUCCAAAGAAAACCUCUCUAACUAUCACAUCUACUCUGUAUAUUUGGAGGUCAAAUUUCACAGCUCUUCCUACAUAUAUGUAUUUUUUUUGCUCAUUACUUUUCAACUUGUAAGUGCCAGCAAAGAGUUUCAAAAAUAAAUUAUCUGUCUCUGGACGUGGCAAUGCAAAAAUCGUAUUUCCAUUGGACCAGGCUUCACAACUUAAGAAGAAAAAAGGGAAAGAGAGAGAAAGAGAAGGAGAGCAAGUCAGCCACUUGGUGAUGCAGAGCACCGAUGGGGCUGGAGCUGUGAUGGCAGCACCGGGACAUCCUCAAACCAGUGCCGUGCUUUCCAACAGCGCAACCCAAAGCGCUGCCAAUCCGCAGGUCAUCACAAGCCUGCAGACAUAAUGCUGGGAUUUGCAAAUAAAAAAGCUGGGGGAAUUUUAAAUUA